CUGCGGCUCCCUGGGCAGGCAAGGUGACACGUGUUGGCGGUUACUGGAGAGCCCGCCUCGUGUGACCGGUGGAACCCGUCUCCCUCCACCGCCGCGUCUCCCGGGCACGCUCACUCACCGGCUCAUUCGGAGGCUUGCAGCAAACUGUAAACUAGCAACCAGCCCUGGUUUGGAAUUCGUCACCCUGCUGGAAGUCUCUGCAAGGGGAAUGUAAACACAGAGAUUCUGCGUUCCUUCUGGGUCGAAGCAAAUUGAGGAGCAAGGAGGAACAGCACGGGCUUAUAGGGAAAUGCUGUUGGCCAACACAUACGUGAUAGAAACUCCGACACUUACAAUCUAGGAAAAGACCAGGCUCCUUCUGCCUCUGCUCCUAGCCGCUGCCCCUGUGCCCAGGCCCGUUCAUACCUUGCGUGGAGGACCCGGUCAUUCACGGCCCCAGCUGGGGACACUCCCUGCUGCCAGGGUGCUCCUUCCGCCACCCCAUCUCCCUGCUGCCCAGAAAUGACUCUCCUCAACAUCAAACCUUCGAAGACAUGGAGACCAUCUUCACAUCAACCCACCAGAAACCCACCAGAAACAGCCGACUGCCUGGAAUUCUCUAGAAGGCAUCACUCUGAACCUUGGACCAGAGGCAGCUGCCUACGACGCACACUCUCCCUCCCUCAGGGGGGUGCGGGCGCCGCCCUUGUCCGCUGACACAUGGGAUCGAGCUGUCAGAGCAUCAGAUCUGCCCUAAAGACAUCCUUUCCGAGGGCUUCCUCGGUGGGCGUGGGGCCCGGCAAGAGGGCCGGCUGGGGAGAGAGAGAUGACGGCCUCGGAGACAGUCCCCUCCCUCCUUCUUGCUGUGCCCUGCCCGCACCAGAGGCCCCAACUCAGAUUAGCCACCGUGGGGCCUUCUAGCUGGGCUCAGCCUCCUGGGCCGCACGAAGGGUGCUGCUCCUAGCUUCUUGGAAUGUGCUGGAUUCACUCACCCUGCAGUCCCACUGACGUCCCUAUUCCCGGUGCUGACUUCGGAAGAAGAAGGGCACUAGCGAAGGGCUCAUGGCUGGUCCGCCAGGCCCCGCAAGCCAGGGGAGGGCCACAGCCCGGCCCGCCUCAUGGGGGACUCAGGAAGCCUCCCCACCUCAAAUGUAACCUAGAACUUCCCUUUGCGCUCGUGUGUGUGUGUGUGUGUGUGUGUGUGUGUGUGUGUGUGUGUAAGCCUCUCAUGGCAUCAGGACAGAACCACUAACUACCUUGAGGGAUAGCUCCCGUGUUUGAAGAGUUCAAGGAAACCACCCUUGAAGGGUUUU